rfam:Rhodoplanes sp. Z2-YC6860, complete genome.
CGAGCCGCUCGUUUGGGAGAACGGGAGGCUCACUCGACGGAUCACCGCCUGGGAGGGCGGGGUUCCGCCGCUUCAGGGGAGUUGCUCGAUGGAGAAUGCCGUUCUUAUCGGCCUGUCGCGCCAGACCGCGUUGC